rnacentral:rRNA from 1 species
ACGAACGCUGGCGGCGUGCCUAAUACAUGCAAGUCGAKCGAACGGAUSAAGAGCUUGCUCUUCUGAAGUGAGCGGCGGACGGGUGAGUAACACGUGGGCAACCUGCCCGCAAGACCGGGAUAACUCCGGGAAACCGGGGCUAAUACCGGAUGAUGCCUCUUCCCGCAUGGGAGGAGACUGAAAGACGGCCUUUGGCUGUCACUUGCGGAUGGGCCCGCGGCGCAUUAGCUGGUUGGUGAGGUAACGGCUCACCAAGGCGACGAUGCGUAGCCGACCUGAGAGGGUGAUCGGCCACACUGGGACUGAGACACGGCCCAGACUCCUACGGGAGGCAGCAGUAGGGAAUUUUCCGCAAUGGGCGCAAGCCUGACGGAGCAACGCCGCGUGAGUGAGGACGGCUUUCGGGUUGUAAAACUCUGUUCUUCGGGAAGAACGGUCGAAGGGUGAACAAUCCUUUGGCGUGACGGUACCGGAGGAGAAAGCCCCGGCUAACUACGUGCC